rnacentral:rRNA from 1 species
AUUGAACGCUGGCGGCAGGCCUAACACAUGCAAGUCGAGCGGAGCGGCGGACGGGUGAGUAAUGCCUAGGAAUCUGCCUGGUAGUGGGGGAUAACGUCCGGAAACGGGCGCUAAUACCGCAUACUAUCAGAUGAGCCUAGGUCGGAUUAGCUAGUUGGUGGGGUAAAGGCCUACCCAGGCAACGAUCCGUAACUGGUCUGAGGGGAUGAUCAGUCAAAUUGAAACGGGGAAGUGGUCCAGACUCCUAGGGGGGGCAGCGGGGGGGAAUAUGUGACAUUGGGCGAAAGCCUGAUCCAGCCUUGCGGCGUGUGUGAAGAAGGUCUUCGGAUUGUAAAGCACUUGAAGUUGGGAGGCGUUCCCAACAGAAUAGGCACCGGCUAACUUCGUGCCAGCAGCGCGGUAAUUC